rnacentral:rRNA from 1 species
GAUGAACGCUGGCGGCGUGCCUAAUACAUGCAAGUCGAGCGAACAGACGAGGAGCUUGCUCCUCUGACGUUAGCGGCGGAAGGGUGAGUAACACGUGGAUAACCUACCUAUAAGACUGGGAUAACUUCGGGAAACCGGAGCUAAUACCGGAUAAUAUAUUGAACCGCAAGGUUCAAUAGUGAAAGACGGUUUUGCUGUCACUUAUAGAUGGAUCCGCGCCGCAUUAGCUAGUUGGUAAGGUAACGGCUUACCAAGGCAACGAUGCGUAGCCGACCUGAGAGGGUGAUCGGCCACACUGGAACUGAGACACGGUCCAGACUCCUACGGGAGGCAGCAGUAGGGAAUCUUCCGCAAUGGGCGAAAGCCUGACGGAGCAACGCCGCGUGAGUGAUGAAGGUCUUCGGAUCGUAAAACUCUGUUAUUAGGGAAGAACAAAUGUGUAAGUAACUAUGCACGUCUUGACGGUACCUAAUCAGAAAGCCACGGCUAACUACGUG